UAGGGAAUCUUCGGCAAUGGGGGGAACCCUGACCGAGCAACGCCGCGUGAGUGAAGAAGGUUUUCGGAUCGUAAAGCUCUGUUGUUAAGGAAGAACGAGUGUGAGAAUGGAAAGUUCAUACUGUGACGGUACUUAACCAGAAAGGGACGGCUAACUACGUGCCAGCAGCCGCGGUAAUACGUAGGUCCCGAGCGUUGUCCGGAUUUAUUGGGCGUAAAGCGAGCGCAGGCGGUUAGAUAAGUCUGAAGUUAAAGGCAGUGGCUCAACCAUUGUAGGCUUUGGAAACUGUUUAACUUGAGUGCAGAAGGGGAGAGUGGAAUUCCAUCUGUAGCGGUGAAAUGCGUAGAUAUAUGGAGGAACACCGGUGGCGAAAGCGGCUCUCUGGUCUGUAACUGACGCUGAGGCUCGAAAGCGUGGGUAGCAAACAGG
rnacentral:rRNA from 1 species